UCAAUUUUAGACUCAGAUGUGGCCC
rnacentral:piRNA from 1 species